rnacentral:rRNA from 1 species
GAGUUUGAUCUUGGCUCAGGAUGAACGCUGGCGGCGUGCUUAACACAUGCAAGUCGAGCGAUGAAGUUUCCUUCGGGAAACGGAUUAGCGGCGGACGGGUGAGUAACACGUGGGUAACCUGCCUCAUAGAGUGGAAUAGCCUUCCGAAAGGAAGAUUAAUACCGCAUAAUGUUGAAAGAUGGCAUCAUCAUUCAACCAAAGGAGCAAUCCGCUAUGAGAUGGACCCGCGGCGCAGUUAGCUAGUUGGUGGGUAACGGCCUACCAAGGCGACGAUGUGUAGCCGGUCUGAGGGGAUGAACGGCCACAAUGGAACUGAGACACGGUCCAUACUCCUA